UUAACAAAAACAUGGUUUUUUGACUAUAAUUUAAGAUCUAAUCUGCUCAAUGAAAUAUUAAAUAGCCGCAGUAUUUUAACUGUGCGAAGGUAGCAUAAUAAUUAGCUUUUUAAUUGAAAGAUUGUAUGAAUGAUUGAACGAGAAAAUUUCUGUCUCAAUUUAAUUUAUUUUUGAAUUUUAUUUUUAAGUUAAAAAGCUUAAAUUUUUGUAAAAGACGAGAAGACCCUCUAGAGUUUUAUAUAAAAAAUUUAUUUGUUUUUAGGAGAUAAGUUUAAAUUUUUGAUUAUUUGGUUGGGGUGACUUAAAGAUUUAAAUAAUUCUUUAGUAUGAAUUGAUGAUUUUCAAAUUAAAAUUUUAUAUUUAUUAAGUUAAAAACAAAUUACCUUAGGGAUAACAGCGUAAUGUUUCUUGAGAGUUCUUAUUAAUAGAAAUUUUUGCGACCUCGAUGUUGGAUUAAAAUUAAUUUACGGUGCAGUAGCUGAAAAAUUAGGUCUGUUCGACCUUUAAAAUUUUACAUGAUCUGAGUUUAGACCGGCGUGAGCCAGGUUGGAUUCUAUCUUUAAAAAUAUUUUUUAUUUUAGUACGAAAGGACCAAAUAGAUUUUAUAUAUUA
rnacentral:rRNA from 1 species